GACGAACGCUGGCGGCGUGCCUAAUACAUGCAAGUAGAACGCAGUUGCGAACGGGCGAGUAACGCGUAGGUAACUGCCUGGUAGCGGGGGAUAACUAAUGGAAACGAUAGCUAAUACAGCAUACUACCAGACGGACCUGCGUUGAAUUAGUUAGUUGGUGGGGUAACGGCUUACCAAGGCGACGAUACAUAGCCGACCUGAGAGGGGGAUCGGCCACACUGGGACUGAGACACGGCCCAGACUCCUACGGGAGGCAGCAGUAGGGAAUCUUCGGCAAUGGACGGAAGUCUGACCGAGCAACGCCGCGUGAGUGAAGAAGGUUUUCGGAUCGUAAAGCUCUGUUGUAAGAGAAGCGGUAUCUUACCAGAAAGGGACGGCUAACUACGUGCCAGCAGCCGCGGUAAUAC
rnacentral:rRNA from 1 species